UCACACAUCCCAAGGAUGUGCAAAUGUGACUGUCAAUUGGCCCCUGUAAAUUGCCCCUAGUGUGCAGGGAGUCGAUGAGAAAAUGGGCUAACAGAGAACUAGUAUGAAAGGGUGAUCGAUGGUGAACUCAGUGGG